GACGAACGCUGGCGGCGUGCUUAACACAUGCAAGUCGAACGGAAAGGCCCUGCUUUUGUGGGGUGCUCGAGUGGCGAACGGGUGAGUAACACGUGAGUAACCUGCCCUUGACUUUGGGAUAACUUCAGGAAACUGGGGCUAAUACCGGAUAGGAGCUCCUGCUGCAUGGUGGGGGUUGGAAAGUUUCGGCGGUUGGGGAUGGACUCGCGGCUUAUCAGCUUGUUGGUGGGGUAGUGGCUUUCCAAGGCUUUGACGGGUAGCCGGCCUGAGAGGGUGACCGGCCACAUUGGGACUGAGAUACGGCCCAGACUCCUACGGUAGGCAGCAGUGGGGAAUAUUGCACAAUGGGCGGAAGCCUGAUGCAGCAACGCCGCGUGCGGGAUGACGGCCUUCGGGUUGUAAACCGCUUUCGCCUGUGACGAAGCGUGAGUGACGGUAAUGGGUAAAGAAGCACCGGCUAACUACGUG
rnacentral:rRNA from 1 species